rnacentral:lncRNA from 1 species
GGAAGACUGCACGGAGGAGCCUGAGGAGCGGCUGCUGGACUGGCUGUGCCUUGGGCUGCGGUCCCGCCUGGAACCGGGGAACCCGGGCUUCAGCGUCCGCCCGCCGCUGGCGGGGUCUGGAGCCUUGACCCUCGUAGCCACAGUUUCCCUAUCUGCGUACCCGCCCGGGAGCGCGCGUGGAGUGGGAGGCCCUGCUUAUUUUCUUUAUACUAACAGGCCUCAAAGUCCUUGUCUUUGCAAUAGGCUAAUAAGCCCGCCUACGAGUAAUGUCCUGAGGGUUAAAUGAGAUGUUAACUUGUAACAUAAAGCGAAAGCUCAAAGUACCAUGGCCAAUAGAGAUGUCCACUUAGCUGGCACAGAGAACAUACCCACUAAAGAGAAGCAGCAUCAAGGGGGCACCUUUCUGCCCAGAAGCCUCUGCCCUCGGUCCUGGCAGCACAAGUCACUCCAGACCUUCAUGCAUAAGGGUGACCUUGUUUUGGUGUUCUAUAGACCCUGCCCACAGUUUUGUUUGGGGACAGCUCUGCCCAGCAUCUGGAGGUUCCAGCUUAGAGGAAGAAGAGGGACUUGACCUUGAAAUCCCAGAUGUAAGUGAUAGAAGAAAC